UGUUUACACGCGCACACGCACGAAGUAAAACCUAAAUGAGCUGCAGUUUUUUUGGUUCUCUGGACAGAAAUGUUGAGUUUCCUCACAGGAUCCAGAACUUCAGCCUUAAAGCAGAAGAUGUGAUCAGUUAGAAACAUCUUAAUCUCCUCUUUAUGUGUCUAUUUUAGGGUCUCUGGUGUAUUUUUACAGUUAUUGUGCAUAUUUUUUAAGUUGUUUUGCAUAUUUUGUAGUCAUUUUCUAUGUUUUCACGCUUAUUUAGCAUCUUUUCAGGGUUGUUUUUCUUUUUUCUGCAAUUAUUUUGUGUCUAUGCGGUCACUUUGCAUCUUUUGCAGUUAUUUUGCAUCGUCUUAAAAUAGUUUAGCGUCCUUUUAAAAUUGUUUUGCAUCUUUUUUGGUAAUUUUGUAUGUGUGUUUAAUAAUUUUGGAAGUUUCUCACAUCUUUUGGUAAUUGUUUUUUUCAUAGUUUUUUUUUGCAUCCGUCUCUUUGCAGAUGAUGUGAUGUUUUUUAUGGUCGUUUAGCCUCCUGCAGUUGCUUUGUACAUCUUUGUAACUGUUAACGCUGUUAUUCUGCAUCUUUUUGCAGCCAUUUAUCAACAUCUUUAAGUUAUUUUUGCAUCUUUUUGUGCUCAUUUGUUCUUUUUUUUAGCAUGUCUUUGCAGUUCUUAUAUCUUUAGCAGCUGUUUUCUGUUUCUUGUGGUUAUAUGGUUAAGGGUUUUAGCUGUUAUUUUGCAUAUUUUCAGAGUUCUUUUGUAUCUCUUGCAGCUAUAUUGCAUCUAUUUCCACAUCUUCUUAAAGUUGUUUUGCAUUCUUUUCGGGUCAUUUUGUACAUUUUCCAAUGAAGGUGAAUAAUUUUUGUUCAAGUUUCUCACAUCAUUUUGUAAUUAUUUUGUGUCUCUUUGCAGACGAUGUGACGUUUUUUAUGGUUGUUUAGCCUACUGCAGUUGUUUCAUACGUCUUUGUAACUGUUAACGCCGUUAUUCUGCGUCUUUUUGCAGCCAUUUGUCCUCGUCUUUAAGUUAUUUUUGCAUCUUUUUGUGCUCAUUUGCUCAAUUUGCAGUUGUCUUGCAAUGUUUGUGGUUAACUUGCAUCUCUUUGUUGUUGUAGAAAAGUCUCUCCAUCUCAGCUGCUGAAGCCUGGAACUCUUUCAGAGGAGUCAUAGGAGUCUUGGUGGCCUACCUCACUAGUCUCUCAGUUUUAACUACUUUUUACAGCUACUGUAAAUUUGUCUGUAAUUUUUAAUCUCGUCUUUUUUAUUUUUUAUUCUCCUGAUCAGCCUGCCUCUUUCUGUUUUAACUUCCUUUCUUCAUAUUUAUCUGAGUUGUUCUUGCCUCCAGGUUCUUUCUUUCUGAAGUAAAGCCCUUCGUGUCACCGUCUUGUUGAGAGAGACAAACCAGCUUUGCUUUGCGGUAAAAGUCUAAAACCUCAGAAACACUUUUCAUCGUCUCUGUUCAUACAUCAGGACUCGUUGUGCAUCGGAGGAAUCGUGGGUGUUUGACGUGAAAACAAACCGAGCGGCUUCAGGUCCGGAAACGUCGACGCAGCAGAUUGAGGAAAUGUGGUUUUCAUGCAGCGUUCGGGGAACAUUUCAUUCCUGAAUGAGAACCUGUUUGAGACACGCAACAAGAAUCAGAGUCAGAGCGAGGACACGAAUCCAGCUGAUAAACAGUCCUCUGAUCCUGCUGAACGUCAGAGCGGAGCCUCGACAACUCAGUCUGACACUGGAAUCAACAGCAGGUUUACCGUCGUCACGGAGAUUCACAGCUGGAAGUCCAGGAUCAGGUUCCAGCAGCUGGUCCUCCUGAUGGGACUCAGACCAGAGGUUCUCUCAGGUCGUUGCCGCUCCAUUGACUGUCCCACAGUAAAUCUGCUGACUGACUGAAACCCUGUUGGAGCUGCAGGUGUCCGUCCUCCUCCAGACGGACUCGGAGCUCUGCUGGACUCAGUAAACGGUUCAACCAUCGCAGCAGCAGCAGGAAUAACGGAGCAGGCUGAUAUUUGGACAGACAGGGCAAUCCAUCAUCACCUCUCCUCCCUGGACUCACCUGUCUCCCCUCCUCCCCCUCCUCCCCCUGUGUUACCUGGCAGCCUGCUGCUGCUGCUGCUGCUGCUGCUUCUGCCGCCGCCGCCGUUUAUUUUCUCUGGGUUUGGUUUUUCUACCGCCGCUGCCAGAGACAAUAUUAUUCUGGAAACCUGCAGGUGAUUUCCUUUCAUCUCCCCGCCUUUGAUUUCAUGGUGACGUCCAUUUCAUGCUCAUUUCCUCGUGGCGCCUCGCCUCAAGGCCGGCUUUCAUUCGCCACGAAACGGCCUCUUAUGCUCUGACCUCUGGAUCAGUCCGGCUGCACAUCUGGAGCAACACCAGACCCACUAUCCAGCUGUGGACCAGGACAUCUGGAGCAACACCAGACCCACUGUCCAGCUGUGGACCGGGACAUCUGGAGCAACACCAGACCCACUGUCCGGCUGUGGACCGGGACAUCUGGAGCAACACCAGACCCACUGUCCGGCUGUGGACUGGGACAUCUGGAGCAACACCAGACCCACUGUCCAGCUGUGGACUGGGACAUCUGGAGCAACACCAGACCCACUGUCCAGCUGUGGACUGGGACAUCUGGAGCAACACCAGACCCACUGUCCAGCUGUGGACUGGGACAUCUGGAGCAACACCAGACCCACUGUCCGGCUGUGGAAGAGGACUGAACGAUCAGUCCGGCUGCUGGUUCAUAGAUGGACAAAUAUUAGCACAAAUUCUGGAGUUUAGUUUGUUCCUCGUUGAAAAGACACAAAACGACAAAUCAGGUCACUGAGUGGUGGCAGCUGCUGAUUCCUAUAGGUCAUUUUGUGUUAAUUUGUGGUUCUUUGUGUCUUUUAGUGGUUGUUUUGUGUCUCUGUGUGGUUGUUUUGUGUCUUUUAGUGGUUGUUUUGUGUCUAUUUGUGGUUGUUUGUGUCUUUAGUGGUUGUUUUGUGUCUUUUAGUGGUUGUUUUGUGUCUCUGUGUGGUUGUUUUGUGCCCUUUAGUUGUUGUUUUGUGUCUCUGUGUGGUUGUUUGUGUCAUUUAGUGGUUAUUUUGUGUCUCUGUGUGGUUGUUUUGUGCCCUUUAGUGGUUGUUUUGUGUCUUUGUGUGGUUGUUUGUGUCUUUUAGUGGUUGUUUGUGUCUUUGAGUGGUUGUUUUGUGUCUCUGUGUGGUUGUUUUGUGUCUUUAGUGGUUGCUUUGUGUCUGUGUGGUUGUUUGUGUCUUUUAGUGGUUGUUUUGUGUCUCUUUGUGGUUGUUUUGUGUCUCUGUGGUUGUUUUGUGUCAUUUAGUGGUUAUUUUGUGUCUCUUUGUGGUUGUUUUGUGUCCUCGUCUACAGAAAUGUAUGUAUUUGUUCAUAAAGUUUUUAAAAUAGACGUCAUCAGCAGGAAUCCAGAAAGAGAAAAAUCAACACAUUGUUAGUUUGAACAUUUGCUUGUUUGUGUUUAAUAGUUGAACCUAGAGGUGUCAUUGAACCAGGAACCCUGUGAUCACAUGAUGAACUUGUUCAACCACUGCACCACAUGGUCAGCGGUUGAACUUCUCCUGGGAUUGGGUCUGGAUUGACGUCAGCACCACAGAAUGUGGAAACACCUGGGCUCCGUUUCAUGAAGCAGGUUCAACAAACUCUGAGUUUAACCCUGAACUCUGAGUUGAUCUACUCUGAGAUAGAAAACUCUGAGUUUUCGGUUUCACAACGGCUGAUUUGAGUUGGUUUAAUCAACUCAGAGUAGUUUCACCUGGAGUUAAGCGCGUGCACCACAACUCUGAAAAGCCAGUAUCAAUGGAGCGCCGAUUCGACGAGUCACCAUGGCAACGGGGAAGCGGAGGACUGCGUUUUUUACACCACUUGAACUGGACAUCUUAAUUCGUUCAUAUGGCGACUUCGAACACGUUUUUAGAAAGAAGUGCAACACCUGCAGCUGCAAAAGAGAGGGAGACGGUGUGGGAGAACAUUGCUGCCCUGUCAAUGCAUUGUGAUGGUGUUAUCUGCCUGGUGGAGCCCCUUCACACCACAACAGAGCUUGUAACUGAUGAAGAGGAUGAAACUGUGUCUGCUGCCUUUACAGAGGGGGAUCCAGAAAGGCAUCUGGAGAGCAUGGCUGGACAGCAGCAGGAUGCUUCCUCAACUUCCACUGCACAGAUUGACUCAGUAAGAUGGAUGUUCAGUAAACACCAGAGGUUCAUUCUGUGGAAUUCAUGUGCAACUGUAUAAUUUAAUGUCCUUUAUGUAUU